UGGGGAAUAUUGGACAAUGGGCGCAAGCCUGAUCCAGCCAUGCCGCGUGGGUGAAGAAGGCCUUCGGGUUGUAAAGCCCUUUUGUUGGGGAAGAAAUCGUGCAGGUGAAUAUCCUGCGCGGAUGACGGUACCCAAAGAAUAAGCACCGGCUAACUUCGUGCCAGCAGCCGCGGUAAUACGAAGGGUGCAAGCGUUACUCGGAAUUACUGGGCGUAAAGCGUGCGUAGGCGGUUCGUUAAGUCCGUUGUGAAAGCCCUGGGCUCAACCUGGGAAUUGCAGUGGAUACUGGCGAGCUAGAGUACGGUAGAGGAUGGUGGAAUUCCCGGUGUAGCGGUGAAAUGCGUAGAGAUCGGGAGGAACACCCGUGACGAAGGCGGCCAUCUGGACCAGUACUGACGCUGAGGCACGAAAGCGUGGGGA
rnacentral:rRNA from 1 species